rnacentral:rRNA from 1 species
CCCAGUAGCUUUGUCGAAGCCACAUCACCCAGUGAAGCAGGGUUGAGCCUGGUCAGUACCUGGAUGGGAGACCUCCUUCGAAAACUAGGUUGCUGCUGGAA